GACGAACGCUGGCGGCGUGCCUAAUACAUGCAAGUUGAGCGAUGAAGAUUGGUGCUUGCACCAAUUUGAAGAGCAGCGAACGGGUGAGUAACGCGUGGGGAAUCUGCCUUUGAGCGGGGGACAACAUUUGGAAACGAAUGCUAAUACCGCAUAACAACUUUAAACAUAAGUUUUAAGUUUGAAAGAUGCAAUUGCAUCACUCAAAGAUGAUCCCGCGUUGUAUUAGCUAGUUGGUGAGGUAAAGGCUCACCAAGGCGAUGAUACAUAGCCGACCUGAGAGGGUGAUCGGCCACAUUGGGACUGAGACACGGCCCAAACUCCUACGGGAGGCAGCAGUAGGGAAUCUUCGGCAAUGGACGAAAGUCUGGCCGAGCAACGCCGCGUGAGUGAAGAAGGUCUUCGGAUCGUAAAACUCUGUUGGUAGAGAAGAACGUUGGUGAGAGUGGAAAGCUCAUCAAGUGACGGUAACUACCCAGAAAGGGACGGCUAACUACGUG
rnacentral:rRNA from 1 species